UGAGGAAUAUUGCGCAAUGGGGGCAACCCUGACGCAGCAACGCCGCGUGAGUGAGGAAGGUUUUCGGAUUGUAAAGCUCUGUCGAGCGGAAAGAAAUGCAUUAUGGCUAAUAUCCAUAGUGCUUGACGGUACCGCUAAAGGAAGCACCGGCUAACUCCGUGCCAGCAGACGCGGUAAUACGGGGGGUGCAAGCGUUGUUCGGAAUCAUUGGGCGUAAAGCGCGUGUAGGCGGGUUGACAAGUCAGAUGUGAAAUCCCUGGGCUUAUCUCAGGAAGUGCAUUUGAAACUGUCAGGCUAGAGGAAGGGUGAGGAUAGUGGAAUUCCUGGUGUAGAGGUGAAAUUCGUAGAUAUCAGGAGGAACACCGGUGGCGAAGGCGACUGUCUGGCCCUAUACUGACGCUGAGACGCGAAAGCGUGGGUAGCAAACA
rnacentral:rRNA from 1 species